rnacentral:lncRNA from 1 species
GUGCUGCCCCAGCUGCAUCCUCAUGAAGCACAUCCGGGAGCACAUGGUGGGAAGGGCCAUGUGAGAGACUUUAGUAUGUGAACUGAUUUAUCCUCUGAACAAGCAUCUUUGAUUAUCUGUUCUACUCCAGAUACAACUCACAAGUGAAUGAACCAGAACACACAAAAAGUAUGUAUGGAGAUCAAUAGAGUGUGGUUUAAGAAUAAACAAGAUCAGUGGAAAUGAAGAGAUUCCAAAUGGGCCAGGCGUGGUGACUCAUGCCUAUAAUCCCACCACUUUGGGAAGCCAAGGCAGGCAGAUCCCUUGAGGUCAGGAGUUCAAGACCAGCCUGGCCAACAUGGUGAAACCCCGUCUCUACUAAAAAUACAAAAAUUAGCUGGGCAUGGUGGCGUGUGCCUGUAAUUCCAGCUACUAGGGAGGCUGAGCCAAGAGAAUUGCUUGAGCCCCAGAGGCAGAGGUUGCAGUGAGCUGAGAUCAUGCCACUGCACUCCAGCCUGGGCAACAGAGUGAGACUCCAGAGGCUGAGGCAUGAGAAUCGCUUUAAUCUGGGAGCCAAGAUGGCACCACUGCACUCCAGUCUGGGUGACAGAGUGAGACUCCAUCUCAGAAAAGAGAAAUAGAUCCCUGCAUGUAUGAAAAUCUAACGUACAGUAGUAACUGGUAUUAAAAUUCAGUUUAUAGUCAAGAUUUCGUGGGGUUAGAAGAAAAAGGCCAGGUGCGGUGGCUCACACCUGUAAUACCAGCACUUUGGGAGGCAGAGGUGGGCGGGUCACAAGGUCAGGAGUUUGAGGACCAGCCUGGCCAAUAUGGUGAAAUCCCAUCUCUACUUAAAAAAAAAAAAAAAAUUAGCCGGGCAUGGUAGUACACACCUGUAGUCCCAGUUACUUGGGAGGCUGAGGCAGAAGAAUCGCUUGAACCUGGGAGGCAGAGGUUGCAGUGAGCCGAGAUCGUGCCACUGCACUCCAGCCUGGGUGACAGAGGAAGACUCUGUCUCAAAAAAAAAAAAAAAAAAAAUUCAUGCCAGCCACGGGGGCUCAUGCCUGUAAUCCCAGCACUUUGGGAGGCCGAGGCAGGUGAAUUGCUUGAGUUCAGAAGUUCAAGACCAGCCUGGACAACAUGGCAAAACCUCAUCUCUAAAUAAAUAUUUUUAAAAAUUAGCCAAGUAUUGUGGCAUGCGCCUGUAGCCCUGGCUACUCAGGAGGCUGAGGUAAGAGGAUCGCUUGAGCCCAGGAGAUCGAAGCUGCAGUGAGCUGAGAUUGUGCCACCGCACUCCAGCCUGGGCGACACAGUGAGACCCUGUCUCAAAGAAGAAGAAAGAAAAUCAGUUAAAAAUGAGUGGGUUACUUCUAAAUGGCCCUUCAACAACUGGUUAUCCAAUGGAAGAAAGCGAAAUUGUAUUUUAAAAAUGUUAUGCAAGAAAACCUCUAGAAUCCGUAUAUAAUCUAGGGUCUUGACCAAGACUAGAUGCAACAGAAAAUUAUGUAUGUUUGUUUAUAUAAACAGUAACUUUUACAAGAAAAAAGAUGUCACACUUGCUGGUAGGCAAAGGAUAUUUUGUAGGGGAAAAUUCUGAAUAGUGUAAACUGCUAAAAAUUGAAAAAUGGACAAAGGAUAUGAAUACGCAAUUCCUAUGAAAGCAAAUCCAAAUGGCGGACAUGAAAAGCUGCCUAUUCAAUUAAGGUAACAUCAGUCUAUAUUUAUCAGACCAACUAAACAAAAAAAUAGUAACACCAGCUACAAAUGGGAAACAAGAAAACAGUCUCACAUGCUGCAGGAAGAAGUGUGCAGUAAGAGACUUUUUAGAAAACUGGCAAUAUCUAUUUAAAUGAAAAGUACACACGCUUUUACACAGAAACCUCACGUUUGGGAAUAUACCCCAUAGGAGUGAAACUAUUAAUUCAUUGUGAUAUUUGUACAAGAUAUAGCAACACUGUUUGUUAUGAGAAAAAUUAUAAAUCAAAUACACACUCAUCAGUAAUGCAAUGGUUUAACUGCAGUUCAUCAACACUAUGGAACAUCAGGUAACCAUUCAAAAGAAUGAAAUGAAGCUACGUCAGUUGAUCGAGAGGGACCUCUGAUUAUUACAGAGAAAAGGAAGACGGAGAAAAAUAAAUAUAACAUGAUUCCAUUUUUAUAUAUGUACAUAAAAGUGUAUAUAGUUCUAAGAUAUUAGCACAGAAAAACAGGAUACAUAUUAGAUCAUCCACGGGAUCCCCAGGGAGGUGGACAGAUGGGAGGGUGGCAGGAUGAAAUAAGUAAAGAGACAGAAACCAGAGCUCUCAAAAAUGCUUCAGGUUAAAGGUGACAGGUUGAACACAGUUAAGAUACCCACUAAAAUCACAGUAAAAGCACACUCCUCGAGAACACGAAUGGGUAUAAGAGUGAAUGGACUAUUUAAAAUGAAAAGUAAUUGACUUAGCAGGGGAAAGCUAGAACUGGAAGGAGUAGAGGCAAAGCACUAAUUCACCCACAGAAUCCGAGAGAGGCUCAACAGAGAGGGGCAACAGCAGAGAAAACACAGAUACUCCACUCAUAAUGUAAAAACAAAAUAUCAAACAAGAUCAAGAGCAGAAAGGGCUCGUAGCUAAUCUCUAAAAAUAGACAAGAAAGAUUAGCAGAUAAAGUAGAGGAAGUCUCAGAAAGAACAGAGAGACAAGGAAACAAAGAACAGAAGGGGAGAAAGGAUAUAAGACAGAAAUUACUCUCUGACAUGCAUGAGAAUCAUCCAGGAGGCCCCACCUCCAGAGCUGGAUUCAGUGAGGCUGGGCUGGGGCCCCCGAACCUGCACAUCCUAACAAGCUCCCAGGUGACACUGCUGCUUCUAGUCUCAGGUCCACACUGUGAGAUCCUGAAUCUCAGGGGUUUUAGUGCAAACACAGAGGAAACAGAGGGGCAGAACUUGCAAAAGAAUGAAUACAAAACACAUUUCUCAGACGGAAGGUCACGAUGCUCCAGGUUGAAAGGGCUCAUCAAGGGAGGAAAGCAAUCAACAAAAAGACCUCCACUGAGGUGUAGUUCUGUGAAAUGUCCAAAUAUCAAUAAAGAGAAGAUCCUACAAACUUCUAGUGAGGAGUAAAAGGGUUCCAACAAAGGAACAAGAAUCUGAAUGAGUAUAGACAAAGGAACGCUGAUCCAGUUUAUAGGGUAAAGAUACUUUGCUGGCUGCUGAGAGGGAACUGGAUGGGAGGAGACAGCCAGGCCUGCAGUGGUACAGGCAAGUGAUAUGUGGCUCAAGAUAGGGCUGGUAAACCUAAGAGUGGAUCUGAGAGAAUUUUUAGGAGAAAACAGAACUCGAUGAUGCUUUAGGUUUAAUCUGGCAGUACUGAGGCCAAUGUACACAAACGGUAACAUCACUCAGCAAGGAGCUUGUAGGAUGGCGGGGUUUAGGAGCUGGACAAGUUUGACAAAGUAAGAGCUUUGUAAUUCCAUUCUGAGACAUCCAAGGAGAAAAAUGCUGAACAGGCAUUUGGAUAUUUGGGUCUGCAGCUCAGGAAGUAUGGACUAUAGGUGUAAACUUAAAUGCUUAGCCUAUACACGGCCUUACUUGUAAGAUAGUCCACAGUCUACCAAAAAACAUGCACUGAUUUCAUGAAACGGUAGCUUCCAAAAGAUAAGGUAACUUCCAAAAUUGGUGUACCUUUGGAAAAUAUUUUCAUUUGUAUUUCUCUCAAGUGCUUGAAACAGCUCUACUGAGCACUCCACAAAUCCAGUGUGUGCAAAUUACAAUGCUACCUGCCUCCCAGGAGCUCUCAACAAGAUGCAAAGAUGUGGAUUCCACUGGUCUGCUUUCCCUUUGGGGAAGCCAAUCACCAAGUCCCAAGACUACAUAUUAAAUCCCUAGUGUUACCAAGGGACAGGAUUUGAUACGAUUUUGAAAACACGUUUCUGUCCCUGCAGCUAUGUGAAAUCAUUUUCACAUACUGGACAUCAAUAGCUUCAGAUUGCUAGACUCCACCCUGUCUCUCCACUUCCUGUACACAAAGUAUUUCUUCACCUGAAUCCGAGACCGUGCCAGAUACACAUUGGAUUUCCAUUCAGUUUUCAUCUUCCGGUACUGCGAUGACUUGGAGUGAACAAACUGUUUACUAUAAGGUGCGUUCAGUUCUCCAGUGACUGUGCUCUGAAAUGACUUUGAGGUGCUGGUGCUGUUUAAGGUGUGAGGCCUGCAGACAAUGGCAUAUCAACAGGAAAAAAAUACAAGGAAAACUGAAGAUACCUCUGAGUAAUGCCCAAAACCAGGUUAAUUCAGAUUCUUACUGACAGAAACAUACAUGGAAAGCUGCCUAGCAGAGACACACGGCGAGUUCUCUUAUGUAGUUGGGCACAUACACAGCCAGACAGCAGGGUUUGUAAGCAGCAGACAAAUCAAGCACAGGAAACCACUAAUACGCCUAGAAACCCUGGGCUGUACUAUGUGAAGUUAAAACAAAAUACCUUAACACAAACCUCUUGACAUGGGCACUCAUUUUAGGUUCAGAACGGGCACAACCUGUGGGGUUAACGGCAAGAGGAAGUUCCAUGAGAGGAUUUCGGCCGUAUCGGAAGGUAUAAUUUUCACAUGCCUCAACCCCAGGAAGCUGAAAAGAAGCAAAGCAGACACAAAGUCACCCCAUCUGAUGGAGACUACAGACAAUCUCAAGCUGGUCAAAGGAUGGCCCACGACAGAAAUAACUCAUCAGCGUUUUCCCCGAUAAUAAAAUGGUCUUCUAGCUUAUGUUAACACUAUUGGCCUGCAGGUAGAUCUACUUAAAUAUGAGUAUGCAAAUUCAGUUUCAAAGCCAAACUUAGGUAAACCCUGCCAAAUGCUCCUUGAAGAAAAAGAUUAGCCCAUGCAACAAACACUGGCUGACCAAUAUACACGCUUGUGUGAUUUCAGGGCCUGACUGAAACACACAAUACCCACAAACACAGGGCAUGUAAUGAUUCGCAUUGAGUUCUUUCCCCUGUAUUAAUGCCAACUUUUAUAUCUCUGUCUGGAAUUUUACAAUUAAAAACAGUUAAAAAAUCAUC